AUAAUAUAUAAUCAAAUAGGUGUUAAACGCAGCGAAGACGACAAAACAAACAACAACAUAACUACCGUAAAGUGAACCACUGUUGUCGUAAAUCCUGCCCGGCGCCGAGUACGGAAUCCUAGUUGGGUCAAACAAUGUCGAGUUUGCUAUCUCAAAAACACAAUUACAGCCUUUUAAAACCCGCUUUUAUACAUUAAUAUUAAAACAACUUGAAUAAAUAAGUAAACAAAAUUGUAAUAUACAAUCAAAUAGGUGUUAAACGCAGCGAAGACGACAAAACAAACAGUAACAUAACUACCGUAAAACAAACCACUGUUGUCGUAAAUCCUGCCCGGCGCCGAGUACGGAAUCCUAGUUGGGUCAAACAAUGUCGAGUUUGCUAUCUCAAAAACCACAAUUACAGCUUUUUAAAAACAAUUUUAUACAUUAUUAUUAAACAAAGUUGAAUAAAUAAGUAAACAAAGUUGUAAUAUACAAUCAAAUAGGUGUUAAACGCAGCGAAGACGACAAAACAAACAAUAACAUAACUACCGUAAAACAAACCACUGUUGUCGUAAAUCCUGCCCGGCGCCAAGUACGGAAUCCUAGUUGGGUCAAACAAUGUCGAGUUUGCUAUCUCAAAAAACAAAAUUACAGCUUUUUAAAAACAAUUUUAUACAUUAUUAUUAAACAAAGUUGAAUAAAUAAGUAAACAAAAUUAUAAUAUACAAUCAAAUAGGUGUUAAACGCAGCGAAGACGACAAAACAAACAAUAACAUAACUACCGUAAAACAAACCACUGUUGUCGUAAAUCCUGCCCGGCGCCGAGUACGGGAUCCUAGUUGGGUCAAAUUACGUCGAGUUUGCUAUCUAAAAAAAAUCAAUUACAGCCUUUUAAAAACAAUUUUAUACAUUAUUAUUAAACAAAGUUGAAUAAAUAAGUAAACAAAGUUGUAAUAUACAAUCAAAUAGGUGUUAAACGCAGCGAAGACGACAAAACAAACAAUAACAUAACUACCGUAAAACAAACCACUGUUGUCGUAAA